GUGCUGAGGGAGCAGAGAGGCCUUAGCGGUGGUGGUAACGGAGCAGAGGGAGGAGGCUGGGCGGAGUAGAUGGAACGUGGCUGGGAGGGGUGGAGGGUGGAGUAUCGAGACCUCUGACGGCCUAGGCGGUGUAGGGGUGGGUUGGCAGGGAGAGCGCAGGGUAGGAUCAGAGAAGUGCACCGAGGAGCGGCGCGAUGGACGCCGCCGACGUAGUCCACUACAGGCCGCUUAGGGCGGUGGCGCUUCGUGUCGAUCUCCAGGGAAACGAGGCACCUCGGGAGGGUAGGUCGAUCUAGGUCGCGAGCGCCCGUGGUUUCGGGUGGGCGCUGGGUAGGGGGUACCGAUCCCAAAGCCCGCAGCCUAGGCCACAGCCACCGGUACAACAACAGCAGGAGCAGAGUAGGCUGCACGCCCCUCCUUGUAGGUCAACUGUUGGAACGACGCCGAGCCCUAGUCCGUCGGUACUCGAAGGAGGAGGAGGCCUAAGUCCACUCACCCAGGUUAGGAGGGAAACGAGACC
rnacentral:rRNA from 1 species